GCACUCUACACACAGCUCGGACAUUUUCCAUUCAAAACAGUCGAAAUGAGCAAAAGUUUGAGUCAUCUGAAAAAAAAGAAAGAAAACUUGCUUGCGGAGGAGGCUGUGGACGGCUGAUUUCCCAGCAGCGUUUCACAAUGAAUCAUCGGAUCUGCUGUGCAAGGCGAGGACAAGGUGCUCGUGGGUUGAUUGCCAAUUGAAUGGGUUCUGCUUUGCUUUCGUUUUGUGCAAUACAACAGUGACCGGCGUGCCCCAGACGGCAGCAACCCCACCGGCCUGAGUCCUGGGGUGAGGACGGUGUGCGAUGCAGCCUGCAGCUGAAUGUAACAUGCAUGGCGAGUCCAGCUUGCGGUCUUAAGCCAUCGGGGUUUAGUGGUCGUUUAUUACAGCAGCAGCGCUGAGUCCAUCCUGACUGAUGCAACCCUCCCAAAGGCUUCAAAGAAUCCCCGUUACUUCGAGACUCUCUUUGAAACCCCUUGACACAGCAUUGAAGGACGCUUGAUGCAGAUCUGCCCUUCCUGCUUGCUCCCCCAAGAUGUCCCUUUCCACACUCUGUAUCUCAGUUAAACUGGACCCGUUUCUGCCCCCCAAGACUCUCUCCACCUCCAUCCCUCUCCUCACAGGAUACCCUCUUAAUAUGCUUUUACCCCAUGCUUCCCACCACCAGUCAAAUCCCUUGCCCAUCCCUCAGUACCUCCCUCAAACAUACUUUUUUACAUGUAGCCUUUGCUGAUUUCUCCUGACGCCACCUUUGUCCCCUGCGAGCGUCUCUGUUCUCUGUCGCCCUAAUCACUUUUUAAGGUCCUCGAGUGAGAAACCUGUCACCCUGGGCAUUACGUUAUCAUUACCUGGAAGCCAAGCUCAGAAGCAACACCAUUCACUGCUCCUGGAGGGGAUUACUGCUGCUCUGGGCUUUACCAGUGCGACGCCCCUAGCCCAUGAGGGGCAGGUUUCCACCAGAAAAGCUCAUUGUGGCUGAUUCCUGGACAGUAAGGGAUAAGUUUUUUCUCUGAGGUUUUUGUUUUGUUUUUAACAAGGAAGCUCUGGUCAUGAUGAAUAAGCCCUUUAGAGGACACUAUUUCUUUCCUUCUCUUUCUCACUUCCCCCAAAAAGAAGGGGGAAAAAAACCCCUGCAGGGUGAAUGGAAGGUUUACGAAGAUAUCCAAUUUUUCGGAAUUUUCUAAAGCAGACCACAAAUCAGUCUAACUGAUUCCAGUUGUGGGCUGAUGAGUCUAGGUUCACAUGUUCUCCGCCAAGCAGACUGGGUCAAGUUUUAGCCAAGUCUGCAUAUGGUUGGUGUUUGGUACAUAUUUGUGAUGGAUUGACUGAGUUCUGUGUGCCAGAUCCAGCCGUUUCCAAAGUGAAAAAGAAAUAACGAUGGCUCUCUCUUUUCCUGUGUGAAAGAGUACAAUGUGUACAAUAUUCCGUAGGUCCCUGGGACUGGCCUGAACGUCUUCCAGCGUAAUCAGAUCCCUGAUUUGUUCACACUUACAGGAUGUGGUAGGAAAGCAGAAGAUAGAAUGUUUCGAUUCGACUCUCAGGCGCUAAUUAGUCUCCGUAAAGCCCAUGGUUUCUCCUGCCUCCUCGUUACCAGCAGGAUCUUUAGAAAGGGAGGCCCUGACCUUCACAAGUGAACAUCGAUGUCCUGCAAGUCAGUGCUCCUAAAAGGAACCGACUGCAUAAGCAGAAAUUUACCGAAAGUAUACUGAGAAGCUGAAAGAAUUGGAAAAUCUGAGAAUCAGGUUGAGAGACGUCAUUGCCACCCAGAAACGUCUCAUCGUGGACCAGCCCAGGGUGAGACCCACCAUCUCCUCUGUGGGUCUGGGGUCUCCACUUGCUCCGCCCUCCUGGCUGGAACUGUGAUCACUUCUCUGCCCCUGGAACCUUGCUCAGUGGCCCCCCCGCUCCAGCGAGACUGGUUGCCUGGUCCAGUGUGGGGAGUGUCUGAAGGGUGAGACCAAGGUCACAGGCCCACACUCUCAGUUGGCACUUGAGCACACGCCGUUCUCGGGGGGUCUCGCUACUCACAGUUUGGGCCGUGGAGGAAAAUGUAAAUCUGGCAUCGCCUGUCUCCCACCAAGACUCAGGGUCGGGGAACCUCGCUUCCCACAGGGAGGGGUUCAGACGCAAAGUCGCCAAGAAGAGUGACAAUGUCCAGACUCCUUAAGCAGAUAAGCAGCACUCACUGCGAUAUAUGCCCGUGUUCUUUGGUCUAUGAGACUCCUUCAGAAGCAACUGGGAACAGGAUGUGAGGGGAGAGGCUGAGGUGAUCCCCAAGCAUGUUUUGGGGUCCCCCAUGCAGUCCCAGCAGUUAAGGUGCCCGAGUGCCCACGUUGUACCCAGCAUGGCAGGAGGGGACCCUCAUUCUGUGGGGCUGUUUGUACCCCUGGUUGGGAGAAACAAGUCCACCUCUCAAACCAAAUGGAGAAUUAGGACGGCAUCGCAAAUUUUGUACCAACCUCCUGGGGACCUUGUGAAAUGUGCAGAUUUAAGGGUUGAAGCUGGGAUCCUGCAUUUCUGACAAGUUCCCAGGCAACGCUAGCGCUAUAGUUCGUGGACGUAUCUGGAACAGCUGAGCACAAAAGAACAGCAUGUCACGAGUGCCACAAACCAGAAGAGCAUUUGGAUGGAUCACAGCGCCACGGGCCUUCUCAGAGGGGAGAUCCCAGCCUUGACAAGCAGGCAGGAAUUCAUUAUGUAGCCUGGGUUGGGCCUGGAUGUGUGUUACACCAAGUCCCAGUUUGCCUGGACUGUCCUGGUUUAAGUGCCAAAGGCCCUGCGUCCUGGGAACAAGUGACGUAUUUCUCUGAUAUUUGCCCAGUAACACCACCCAAAGUCACACAGUCACUGCGUGUUAUUUGCUUGACAGAUUGGCCAAGUUUACACUCUGGAGGCUAAAGUCACAGGGAGUCUUUUUCACUUCUGGUCUUAGUAAAGGCUCGGAAAGGAAGCAGUGAAGCUCUUGAUAUUUUUCCCUUAAUAUCAUUGUGAUAUCAAUGUUCACGCCACUGUUUUACAGUGCUAGUGUUCUUGAGGCUUUCUUUUAUUACCCAGAACAUUUUAAAUUCCUGUGCAUAUAUUCCAGCAUGCGUAUGAAAUGUCAGCACCACUGAUGGAGGCCCCAGAAAAGGCAGUCUUAGUGCUGCUUGAACCAGGCCACCACAGUGCAGCAAACCAGCUGGGCCGGGUCAGCCAAAGCACCUGAAUCAGCCACAGCCGCCGAGACCCCGCCAUGUCCCCGGGUCACAGACAGGUUCAGGAAGCGGCUUGCUCCUCCCCUGGACAGAGGCCCAUCCCACGGCGACGCUUGUCCUCAAGAAAUGGGUUUAUUUGCUAUGAUCGGCUUCCUCCUCACCCACAAGCAUGUCUUCCAUUCCUGGGGAGCCAGAAAGAUGCUCAAGUCCAAGAAGGACCAGCUGCCCCUUUUCACAGAGCAAAUCCUCCAGCCAGCUGCUUCAGCGGUCUCCUGCUGGUCUGGGAACGCACUCCUAUUGGAACGUGGAAGCCCUGGGUUCAAGAACACAACCUAGGAUCUCGUCGACGGUUGCAGUAAGUGCCCAGUAACGGACUCUUCGCUUAGAGAGCAGAAGAGAGAAAGAGGCAGGAAGCAGCGAAUGGUGGCGAGGAAACGGCAAAAAUAUCAGCAGAACAAAUGCAGGAAGUGACCCUUAACCUCGAGCCUUAGGCUCUAAUUUUGUAUCUCAGAACGAAGAUAGAAGAGGGCGUGGCAGACACACACACACCCAGCGUGUCUUCUCUUGAACAUUUCUAGCACGGCGCUGCUAUUUUAAAAGGGCACAUGGAUCUCUGCAGUGGCUGAACAACGCAGGGAGUUAUUUGUGCCCAGCCCCGGCUUAACACAGGCCUGCCUGGGAUGCCAGCGUUUUCAACUCCAAAGGGAAAGCACGUGCUCACCCACAAAUGCUUGCCUGGGCCGGGGGAGAGCUCCAGCUGCAGGGGAGUUAGCUGCAUCACAUCCUGCUGGGACGAUGGAAACUCCCCCUUUCUUCUCCCUGGGGCUGUGGCUUCUUUCACCCAAGUCCCAGGGGGCUGACAUUCCACCAAGGAGCCAGGUGGCGGGUAGCAUCUGGCCGAACUGUCAUCUGCUCACAUCAGCACACCCCAGGAUGUUCAGCAUCUCAUCUCGGCCUUUGCCCUUGGUCCACGCAGGUAGUGCGGUGAGAUCCUGUGUUCCCCUUCACGUGCCCCGGCGUCCUGGGGGCUGUGUUACUUCCACAGCACUCAGGGUCACAGAGGCAAGUUGCUCCUUCCGCUUCAUGCUGGAUGAGCAUGACAAAGGCCCAGGGUUGACCCACUGCACGGACCGCUGUUCUGCUCCCAAGGGCUCUGCCUGGGAAGCAGGGGGCAGGAUGUCACCCAGCUUUCUGAGACCCGCCGGGGUCUGAUAAUCUCCUAACGUGUCCUCUGUAAAAUCAGAGUUUUCUCUGGCUGGUGGCAGAAGGAGAAGUCACAGAGAUUCAAAGCACGAAGAGGAGUCCACGUAUGCUGUUGGUUUUGAAGAUGAAGGAGCUGAGAGACCCCUCAGUGCCCCGCUGCAAGGACCUGGAUCCAGCCAACGACCUGAAAGAACUCAGGGUGGAUCCUUUCCAGAGGCCCCAAGAAGAGCCCGCCUGAACAACACCUAGAUCUCAGCUUGGAGACCUUGAGCAGAGCGCCCAGGGGCACCACGGGACAUUUGCCCUGCAGGGCUGGGAGUCUGUGAAUGGCGGCUGUAUGAAGCACCUAAGUCUGUGAUGACCUGUGACACAGCAACAGAAAAUGAAUAUGGGGACAAAAGUCACCGUGCCUGACGCUGAGAAGGCACUUAGCAAAUUCCACGUGAUUUCCUCUCCUUUUUGCUUCUUGAUGUUUUGUAGAUAGACUGUGCAGCAACAGGGCUCAGCAACGGAUUCUUCAAAUGCAUUUCUCAGCCUUUCUCACCACUCGGAUGAGGCCCAUGGACCAGAAGUGGAAGUGAUGGGUGCCCUUUCUGAGCUGAGGCGAUUAAAAUUGGGGGCUUCAUCACCUCUUUCUUCUACUUUGCUGGGGAGCAUGUGCUCUAGAUAGUGCAGCUCCCAGAGCCCCAGCUCCAUCCACCAGACCCUGAGUGUCUGCAUGGAGCCGAGGGCCCGCCCACCUGUGUCACUCGUGCUUUACAUUUGUCAUGGUGGCAGCGAGUCUUGCCCUGGUUAACACACAUGCGGUCGCCCCGUGAACACUGCUGUUGAAGCUUACAAAACAAAGGAGAAGGAACGCUUCAUUUCAGAAGCUCCUUUAAAUAGCAGCCUCUUCACUGUAGUUAAGUUUUUCUUUAUAGGUCACUGUGAUUGAUAAGGAAGGGAAGGGUGGCCAGAGGAAAGGGUUUGGAAGCAUUGCCAAGAGAAAAUCAAACAAUGAAGAGAGAGCCAUCACUAAAAUAAGUCAGUGGGGAAAUAUUCGUUCUCUAAAGUCUAUCCACAGAUGUUUUCCUAUAACCUUGGGCUUCUUCUAAAGAGUCAAGCCCAUUUCUGAAAGCUUCAGCAUUUCUGGCCCAUCAUCACUGUCUGAUGGCCUGAUCUCUGGCAUCAGUAUUGACCUUACCCCGCGAACAUGUUGUUUCCACCUUCUCCCUACAGGUUUCUCUGGCUGCAGCUCUCUCUGGGCCCCUGUGAGCUCCACACAGACAGUGACCUUCUAGGAGAUCAACAGGCCAAUUCACUCCCUGCCCGAAAGCCUUAGGAAACAGCCAAACCCCACAGCACAACGUAAGCUCCGUGGGAGGUUCAGAACGCUGACGGGUCUGAGGUUUUACCCUCCUCACUAGCUACUGGCUAGCCUGUCCCAGCUGAGCGGAUGCUGGCAGAAGACACGAGACUCCUGGGUCAGAGACAGAGACGCAGCAGCUCAGGCGGCAGCAGCAGCUUCAGGCUUGUCCCUCAGCUCCCCUCGCCCGUCAGGCUCAGGUGGACGCUGCACAGGCAAGGCUGGCGUCACGGCUCAGGAACCCUGUGCUUAAGGAACCCCAGUCAUUUAUCACAGUCUGCAAGCACACCUGACCUUGGCCUUGGAGAGAGUCAUCUUUAUUGUACGGGAUAGUACAAACCGCCCUUUUCUCUAAAGGGAGGUGCUAUCUCUCUUUUCCGAGCUGUCUGCAGCACAAACAUCCUUGAGAAGGUGUUGCCUCUGCUGGCAGGGGUACAGAGAUGUGAGAGACCACGGAGAGCCGUCCCCCUGCAGAGGGCAGAGCUCACGAAAACGCUGGGCGCUGCUCUGGCCCGUCAAACCAGGGGCCACUCUCAGCUGCCAGCCACAGAAAUGAAGCCACUGGGGCUGCAUCAGCCCAGCGGAACUGGUGCCAUUUUCAGUAACACUGAAGAGUCAUACAGGCUAGCGGCAGUCCUAUGACAAAGCACCUUCUUUAUUGCUUUCCAGCAUCUUGGAAUUCCAUUCUGGAAUUUGUCUUGGCUUGCUCCUGCCUGGAGAAUGAGAUAAAGCACUGUUUAAAUCUGACAUAGACGUGAUGGGACAGAGUUGUCUCCGGGAGAUGCUUGAGUAUUCUGGUAGAAAAUCAUCAUUUUAAAGAUGACUUUUGUUUAGGAAACUCCAAGAUUAAGACAGACACUGUAUAAGGAGGGAGGGUGAGUGUCCACAAAAGGAAAUAACUGGGGGAGUGUUUGCGGGGGACAGUGGCUACAAGUAGAAAUGGUGCUUAUCUCUGCUGUCUGUAAACAUUCAGAACCUGGGGUAUCUUCCUGGGGAGGUCAUCGGGCACGAGAGCAGAGGCUGACUGCAGAACUCUUCCGGACGCCACAAGUCCUACACCUCAUCAAUCACGAAGGCUGGUCUCAUGUUCUUUCCUUUCCCAUCCCCGUGGCCCCUACCCAAUUCAGACCAUCUCUGACCACCAUUGCAUCAUUUCUUCAGCCUUCUGGUAGGUUUCCCUGCAUGCAAUCUACACCUCUGCCUUGGAGAUCUUUCUAAAAUGCAAUUCUGAUCUUGUCAUUCCCCGUCUUAAAACUUUUCAGUGACCUCCUCUUGCCGUAAGGAUAAAGCUCUAACUGAAAAGGGCUCAUGAGACCUUCCCUCUUGUGUGACUCCUCCCCCCACCACCUCAUUCGGACUGUCUCUCCCCCUCAUCGUCUUUGUUUCAGCCACAAUACAAGUAAGUGUUCCCUUGGGCAAGAACGCCUUCUCCGCCAUUCUUGGGAAAUUUAUGUUUUUCAGAAUCCCAAGAAAAAUCAGUCGGGGAAUCAGGAAAUGAUCAUCUUACAAGAAUUAAGGCUUAACCAUCAACACAGGAAUGUUACCAGUUUGGAAGCAUCCACUACUACCAAGGGGAAAGUGAGAGCAGGAAACGCUGACAUGUAGAAUCCAAAGUCAGAGUCACAUCGCUGGGGACCAGGACGAGAGAGAGAAGGGGAGACACGGUGGAAAUCGAUCGGUCUUGCUGGCAGCUGUGGCCAUGUGAAAAGUGUGCUUAUGGCUCUAUCUCCUAACAGUUGACUAAUUCUUACAAAUUAAAAAAAUUAAUUACUUUAUAUACAUAGUAUACCUAACACAAAUCUUAUGAGUUGCUUUCCGAGAAAUAACGAGGCAAAACAACAGAGGUCCCUGACAUGCCUCCCCAUCCUUCAUGUCUGGUUAAGGUCUGUUCCUCCAGGAAGUCACCUUGACCUUUAAACCUGGGUUCCUUGCCCCUCCAGUGUGCUCCUUACUGCUCUCGUAGUAUUUACAUCAAGGGGAGGAUGAUUAUUUGCUAGUCCCCAGAAGAACCACGCCUCCUGGUUUGCAUAACCUUACGUGGCCCCUCCCACACUGACUGUGGGCGUGGUCGUGUGACUUGCUUUGGCUGUCGGGACAUGAGUCAGAGUGACACAGGCAAAUAAUUGCUAGGACCUCUGUCCUGGAGGUUGUUUCCUUGGAACCCUCCUUCUUGGAAGGCAGUCACCACACCCUCAAGUAGCCCAGGCUAGUCUACUGAAUGACGCGAGAGCCUGGGGGAUGAUGGGCCAUCUUGGACCUUCCAGCCCCGCACUCCACCCCACCCCCAGGCUCCCAGCUGAAUGCAGCUGCUCCAGAAUGUGAAGCAGAAGAACUGCCCAGCUGAGCCCCGUCCACCCAGAGACUUGUGAGAAACAAAAAGCAUCUUUUUUAAAACUCCAGAGUUUUAGGAUGGUAUUUGACACAGCAAUAGAUAACCCAAACAUGCUGUGUUGUCAUUACCUGUUACUUCUCUCUUUGCAGAUAAACUGUGAGUUCUAGGAAGAUAAGUUCAGGCCUGCCUUGUUUUAAGUAGAGGCUCAAUAUGUACUAUUGGAAGGACUGUUCUGUUCCCUAGCCUCAGGUUGGUUCAGACCCCGCAGCAUUGCCAACUCAAGCUCAGCUGCAUCGAACAGGGUGUGAUUAAGCAUUUUGUUUCCACUUGCACCAAAGUCAUUAAAGAGUACAAUCUAUGACUUUCUGUAUCUGGCGCUGAAACUAAGUUAUGACAUCAAGUGAAAAAGCAGGAUUACUUUAGGACAUUGCUACUUUGUUGGGCUUUCUUGCUGUUCUUUGGAAGCAAGUUUAGACUGACAACUCUUCUUAGAACUUUGCUUGGAAAACACCUCUACUUCCAAACAUCCAGAAGAUCUGGGGGGAGGAGAAUGGAAGGUGGUGAAAGGAGAAAAAAAUAGUUUGGACUGAAUCCAGGCUAAAUUUUUUAAUCAAGUCAGCCUCUGACUCAGCACCGGGUGUGAGGCAAUCACCGCUUCUUUUGAGCUCCUGGGAGGUUUUUAUCUUGACCAUCUGGCAAUUAAUCACGGCGCACCCUGUGAUCUCUUCCUUUGUCUUCUUUGCAUUGGGUCCUGCCGUUUCAUUUUUCACAGGUUUGUGCCCGACCUCUUCACUGACUUCCCACAGAGUCCAGCAUAUUGUAAGCACUCAAUAAAUAGGUCCCAGGGGAUGGUUUUGCUCCAAGCAAUCCUACCAAAAACUGGAUGGGAAGGACUUUGAACAGCCCAAGGUAAGAUUGCAAAGAUCCACCAGGGCUGGAGCGCACUGGUGUUCAGAGGGGGUGAGCGUCAGCCUGGCGCUGGGAGAAUUGUACCUGAUUUGUAUCUUGGUCUUUGGAGACAUCCAACCCCAAACCCGAGGCUUUCUCAGCCUCAGGCUGAGGGAUGGAUGAUUCAUUGUCUCUCUCUGCCUCUGUGUCUCUUUCUGUCUCUUUCUCUCUUAUCUGUGAAUCUAUGAAUCAUUUUCUAUGCCUUCACCGAGGUUACAAAAAGAUGAGGAUUUCAGUCAAACAGAGUCUGUCCUGCUGGCUAGAGAUACCAACCUGGGUAAUAGGGUCUCGGGGCAGCAGGAGUCUCUUUCCAAGGACGUCUUCAGAGAAGAGAGAACUUCUCUGCUGGCUGGCAUGAUGUCUGUCUGCAUCCAAUUCUUGAUUCCUCACUAUCUGAUGAUACCACGUGUCUCAGGAAUGGACCUGGACCCACAUUAUUCUGAGAAGCAGCAGCAAAAGCAGCGUCUCUCCCCCAAUAUAUAGUCUUUCUUUAAAAAUGACCAAAACAUCCAUGAUUCUAAAGGAAACUCAGGAAAUAAACCUGGCUGGGGCUAUUCUGGCUUUAACCCAAGGCCCUUCUCAUGCUAUGGAACUUCCUAGAAGCUGGGGAGGUCUCAGAGCCUGUGCUGACUGUGAGCAGUCCGGCCCUUUCCCCUCCCUGUCGGCCUGAUGCUCUGAGCCCAUUUCUCUCAGGCCAGUUUUCUAAGAUGGACCGCAAGAUUCUGCCCCCUAAUGAUCACAUGCUACAUAACCCCCUCCCCGAAGUACAGGUGGGACCUGUGAAUAGGAUGGCUGGCCUCUUCCUGGAUAAGGUUACAUCCUAUUGGCAAAGCGAUGGGAUGAUUAGGUCACAUUCUAUAUAUCACAUAUUAUGUGCCCUUCAUAGCUGACUGAAGGGAGAUUUGAAGGGAGAGCCAUUCUGCUGGCUCUGACCAUCCCUGUUGGGGGUGGUCAGAGGCUAGGACCCAAGGGGGGCCUCUAGAAGCUGAAGGUGACCCUCAAUGACAGUCAACAAGAAAACGGGACCUCAUUCCUUAAAAAGCCAUAUGAUCCAGCAAUCCCACUCCUGGGCAUAUAUCCGGAGAAAACUAUUAUUCAAAAAGAUACAUGCACCAAUGUUCAUAUGUUCAUAUGCACCAAGGUUCACAGCAGCUCUAUUUAUAAUAGCCAAGACAUGGAAACAACCUAAAUGUCCAUCAGCAGAGGAAUGGUUAAAGAAGAUGUGGUACAUAUAUAUUAUACAAUGGAAUAUUACUCAGCCAUAAAAAAGAACAAAACAAUGCCAUUUGCAGCAACAUGAAUAGACCUAGAGAUGAUCUUACUAAGUAAGCCAGACAGAGAAAGACAAAUAUCAUAUGAUAUCACUUAUAGGUGGAACCUAAAAAAAUGACACAAAUGAAUUUAUUUACAAAACAGAAACAGACUCAGACAUAAAACAAACUUAUGGUUGCCAAGGGGGCAAGCGUGUUAACAUACACACGCUACUAUAUAUAAAAUAGAUAACCAACAAGGACCUACUGUAUAGCACAGGGAACUCUGCUCAAGAUCUUGUAAUAACCUACCAAGGGAAAAGAAUCUGAAAAGGAAUAUAUGUGUAUAACUGAAUCACUUCGCUGUACAUUUGAAACUAACACACAUUGUAAAUCAACUGUACUUCAAUAAAAACAAACAAACAAAUAAAUAGAAAGAAAACGGGACCUCGUCCUACCCCUGCAAGGAACCGGAUUCUGCUGACAACCAGUGACCCCGGAGGGGCCCCUGAUACCCGGAUGAGAUCGGACCCCCGGUGGACACCUUGAUUUCAGCCUGGGGACACCGUGAGCAGAGGCCCCAGCUUUGCCGGGUCCGGGCUCCUGACCCACAGACCCUGUGAGAUGAAAACUGUGUGUUGUUCUAACCACUGUCUGUGUGAGUUGUUACCCAGCACAGAGGAUGAGUCGAACCCUCUCCCCUCAUGGCAGCACUCAGCCUGCUUUGUCACACAGCGGCCCUCGACCAGUGAUGGGUAACUGAGCAGUGUUUCUGCCCCGGGAUACCUGCUUUUGAACGGGAAAUGCCUUCAGUCUCCUCCAUUUUGCACCAUCACCCCCUUUCCCAGACCCCAAAUGUUCGGUGGGCACCAGGCUACGCCAGGAGUUCUCACACCACGAGGCCCCUGGAGCCUGACAGCCACCCUGCCCUUGGGGCCUGGGGGACACUGCGCCCCCAGAGACACUCCCUUCCUGCACUCUUGACACCCAGACAGAAGGGAACACAGAGACUGGAGCCCAGGUUUUCCCAACUCCGAAUUCCAUGCUGCUUCCGUUCUGCACGCUGUGGAACUGCAGACGACUUCUGAAGGCUUGAGGACGGAUGUUGGA